rnacentral:lncRNA from 1 species
AAUUCAUUUGGUGAAAACCAAAGUAUUUCCCCAGCAAAGAAAGUUAGCCCAGAAACGAAAUGAGGCAAAAACACUGAGUUUGGGAUUUUUAGUCAAAGGGCGGUUACCUCUCUGUUUAGCCAAUGAUUUUCCUUUUCAACUGUUUUUUUUUAAAACAAAAAUCAACAACCCUUGAACAAAUUGAAAUAUACUACUAUACGAUCAUUUCUUCAGGAUCAAUCAACAACAACAGCCAGAUCUCUCUUUCUCUGUCUCUGUUUCUGUGAUUUUAGUUCCUCUUUUUUGAUACAUUAACGAUUGAGGCAGUGAUGAUAUUUUAUCCGGAUUCUGGGCUAACUGGAUCGGGCAUAUCGACUAUCCGACCCGUAACUUGGCUUGGCAAAUCACCGGACGGUUAGCUGCCGAUUUGGAGGCUUUUUCUAUGGAAUCGGACCCGGUGACUUUGCAGCCAUGGCGCGGUCGCCUCUCUUUUGCCCGACCUCUCUUUGCAGAUCUGAGCCUUGUAAGUACUGUGAAAUAGAAAAGUCUGAAACUUGGAGCUUGUUUGGCUAAGCUUAUAAGCUUGUUAAAUUGGCUUAUAACCACUUUUUGACUUUAUGUACGGAUUUGGCAAGGGCUUAUAAGCCAAAAAUAAGCUAUAAGCCAACUCUUGUUAUAUCCUAUUCUUUAGCUUCUUAUUAUUAAUUUCAGCACAUUUUAAAGCUUUUUUGUACCUAACGUUAUCAGUUACUCUAAACGGGCUCUUAUUCUUUUUUUGAAUUUCAACUAUUUUUUGCUACUAAGCAUGGAAUCAAGUUAUACGUCAGUGGGCAAAACAAGAAUUGUUGAUGCUUUAAAUGGUUCUCUUUGACGCGAAGCAGGAAACUAAAAUAUCAGAGACAAAGAAUGAGGUAGCAGAGAGUAGAGGAAAGUUCAAGGGCAGCUGCUCCUCUGAGCUACAAUACCUAUGAGUUCAUUUUUGCCAUAAAUGCCCUUCUGCAGUAAACUAUGUCACCACUCUACUCUAUCGCCAAAUCCUCACUCCCAAAAAGAGAAUCAAUAGAAGUAGUAACAAUACUCCCUCCGGUCCACAAUAAGUGUGUUUAAUUUUUGAUUUUGGUCCAAAAUAAGUGUCUUGUUAGGUAAUCAAGAAAAAAUUUAAUUUGUAAUUUGUUUUCUCUUUUACCCUUAUGCGCAUAUCCCUAAAAAAAUUUCUCUCUCGUCACAUUAGCUUACUAAAUAAGUGUAGUUUAGUUAUACUAGGUAAUUUUGUAUAGGAUUUAGUAUUUUCUUAAUGAUGUGUUAAAAGUAAAAUAGACAUUUAUUGUGAACCGGAUGGACUAUGGAGUAAUUAAUAAUAAUUGUAGCAAAAAUCUGAGGCUAUGAUGAUAGUUUUUAUUCGGUCUCUGAGCAAAUUGAUCAAGGCAGGAGAACAAUCGGACCUGUAACUUGGCGGGGCGACCCGGACGGUGACGACUUGCAACGGUGUUUGCAGCCAUGGCAGUGUCUCCAAUCUCUUGCCUCAGCCUUAAUAUUACGGAUCUGAGCCUCAAUUGGAAGGUUAUUAUCUUAAAUGCAGACAUAUGAGCUCUUUUCCGUUAAAUUUUGAAAUUCGCAGGUGAAAAACCCUCGAGAAUUUCCCCUAAAAAUGCAAUAAGGUUAACUGAGAAAGAAAUGAGGCAAAACAGAGAGUAUUGGGAUUUUCAUUAGAAGGGUGGUUGCCCCUCUCUGUUCGCCAUUGAUUUUCCUUCAUUUUUCAGGAAAAAAACCAACAGCUCUUGUUUAUGACAGAAGUAGACAGCGUUUGGACAUAAGAAUUGUGAAAUUUCAGAAAAAUGUAAUUUUUUUCCCAGUGAAAUCUGUGUUUACUGUGUGUGCGUGUGUGUUUAUGUUGCUGAUGGAAGUUACAUAAAGAGUGUGCAUGAUGAUGUUUCUUGUAUCUGGGCUGACCGAUCGGGGCAUAGAGAUGACCCAACCUCUAUCUUGGUGUGGCAACCCGGUAUGGCAUGUGAUUGAGAUUUCUGUCUCUCACUUGUAAUUGGUGUUUUGCAGCCAUGGCGUAGCUGACUUCUCUUUUCCUUAUAUAACACAUUCAUGAUAAGCCUACUAUAGCAUGGACCAAGUUGUAAAUAAAUACACACCUGGUUCUCUUUGACACAAAGCAGAAAACUAAAAGCUCAGAGACAGAAUGAGGGUUGCAGAGAGUAGAGUGAAGCUCAAGGGCAGCUGCUCCUCUCUGCCAUUCCUGUGAUUUCAUUUUUGCCAAAAGUGCCCUUCUGCAGUAUACUCUAACCAAACGACCCCUUAAGUAUUUCGAUUGGCUGUUACUGUUCUAUCUGCUUAUCAUCUCCAAAUCCUCACUCCAAAAAGAGAAUCAAUAGUAAUAAUAAUAAUAGUUGUAGCAAAAAC